UAAAAGGGUCGGUUGGCUAUGUAUGCCACGCUCGUCUUUCAAUUGAUGAGUGCUGUAUGGCUAUCAAGACAUAUGGCCGACAUAAUUUGUGGAAUCUGAUGGGGUUGGCUCGCUUGGCCGACCCUACA